rnacentral:rRNA from 1 species
GGGUUGUGAGGUUAAGCGACUAAGCGUACACGGUGGAUGCCCUGGCAGUCAGAGGCGAUGAAGGGCGUGCUAAUCUGCGAUAAGCGCCGGUAAGGUGAUAUGAACCGUUAUAACCGGCGAUACCCGAAUGGGGAAACCCAGUGUGAUUCGUCACACUAUCAUUAACUGAAUCCAUAGGUUAAUGAGGCGAACCGGGGGAACUGAAACAUCUAAGUACCCCGAGGAAAAGAAAUCAACCGAGAUUCCCCCAGUAGCGGCGAGCGAACGGGGAGGAGCCCAGAGCCUGAAUCAGCAUGUGUGUUAGUGGAAGCGUCUGGAAAGGCGCGCGAUACAGGGUGACAGCCCCGUACACAAAAGCGUAUGUGCUGUGAGCUCGAUGAGUAGGGCGGGACACGUGGUAUCCUGUCUGAAUAUGGGGGGACCAUCCUCCAAGGCUAAAUACUCCUGACUGACCGAUAGUGAACCAGUACCGUGAGGGAAAGGCGAAAAGAACCCCGGCGAGGGGAGUGAAAAAGAACCUGAAACCGUGUACGUACAAGCAGUGGGAGCACCCUUUGGGGUGUGACUGCGUACCUUUUGUAUAAUGGGUCAGCGACUUAUAUUCUGUAGCAAGGUUAACCGAAUAGGGGAGCCGGAGGGAAACCGAGUCUUAAUUGGGCGUUAAGUUGCAGGGUAUAGACCCGAAACCCGGUGAUCUAGCCAUGGGCAGGUUGAAGGUUGGGUAACACUAACUGGAGGACCGAACCGACUAAUGUUGAAAAAUUAGCGGAUGACCUGUGGGUGGGGGUGAAAGGCCAAUCAAACCGGGAGAUAGCUGGUUCUCCCCGAAAGCUAUUUAGGUAGCGCCUCGUGAAUUCAUCUCCGGGGGUAGAGCACUGUUUCGGCUAGGGGGUCAUCCCGACUUACCAACCCGAUGCAAACUGCGAAUACCGGAGAAUGUUAUCACGGGAGACACACGGCGGGUGCUAACGUCCGUCGUGAAGAGGGAAACAACCCAGACCGCCAGCUAAGGUCCCAAAGUCAUGGUUAAGUGGGAAACGAUGUGGGAAGGCCCAGACAGCCAGGAUGUUGGCUUAGAAGCAGCCAUCAUUUAAAGAAAGCGUAAUAGCUCACUGGUCGAGUCGGCCUGCGCGGAAGAUGUAACGGGGCUAAACCAUGCACCGAAGCUGCGGCAGCGACACUCAGGUGUUGUUGGGUAGGGGAGCGUUCUGUAAGCCUGUGAAGGUGGCCUGUGAGGGUUGCUGGAGGUAUCAGAAGUGCGAAUGCUGACAUAAGUAACGAUAAAGCGGGUGAAAAGCCCGCUCGCCGGAAGACCAAGGGUUCCUGUCCAACGUUAAUCGGGGCAGGGUGAGUCGACCCCUAAGGCGAGGCCGAAAGGCGUAGUCGAUGGGAAACGGGUUAAUAUUCCCGUACUUGGUGUUACUGCGAAGGGGGGACGGAGAAGGCUAUGUUGGCCGGGCGACGGUUGUCCCGGUUUAAGCGUGUAGGUGUGUGUUCCAGGUAAAUCCGGUUCACUUUAACACUGAGGCGUGAUGACGAGGCACUACGGUGCUGAAGCAACAAAUGCCCUGCUUCCAGGAAAAGCCUCUAAGCAUCAGGUAACAUCAAAUCGUACCCCAAACCGACACAGGUGGUCAGGUAGAGAAUACCAAGGCGCUUGAGAGAACUCGGGUGAAGGAACUAGGCAAAAUGGUGCCGUAACUUCGGGAG